rnacentral:rRNA from 1 species
UACAGAGGGUGCAAGCGUUAAUCGGAAUUACUGGGCGUAAAGCGUGCGUAGACGGUUACAUAAGUCGGGUGUGAAAGCCCCGGGCUCAACCUGGGAAUUGCAUUCGAGACUGCGUAGCUAGGGUGCGGAAGAGGGAAGCGGAAUUUCCGGUGUAGCGGUGAAAUGCGUAGAUAUUGGGAAGAACACCGAUGGCGAAGGCAGCCAUCUGGACCGACACUGACGCUGAGGCGCGAAAGCGUGGGGAGCAAACAGG